UACGUAGGGGGCAAGCGUUGUCCGGAAUCAUUGGGCGUAAAGCGCGUGUAGGCGGCCAGGUAAGUCCGUUCUGAAAGCCCGGGGCUCAACCCCGGGAGGCGGAUGGAUACUGCUUGGCUCGAGUCCGGAAGAGGCGAGUGGAAUUCCCGGUGUAGCGGUGAAAUGCGCAGAUAUCGGGAGGAACACCAAUGGCGAAGGCAGCUAUCUGGGCUGAAACUGACGCUGAGGCGCGAAGGCUAGGGGAGCAAACAGG
rnacentral:rRNA from 1 species